CAAUAAACGGCUAACUCACCGCAGACAGCAGGGGCAAAACGCUUAAUGUCCUGCCGAGGUUAAACGAGUUUAAAGCUAAACAAUUAUAGGGGAAGUGACAGACUAACAGGAAUCUGUAUUUCUUUAUCCUGAAUGUUUAAGUUUUAAGUUUUGACCUCGGUAAAAAACCGAGGUUUUUUAUGGCGAAU
rfam:Planktothrix tepida PCC 9214 isolate BBR_PRJEB10993 genome assembly, scaffold: BBR_B_PL9214_scaffold46